ACCCUCUCAGGGUUGCACCUGGGGAGUUUCCAGUCCUCUACCAGUCUCAGUUUUGAGAGGGAGAGUCAAGCAGAGGCCUACUCAUUCCAUUCCUAGCUUGGGCAGAGGUUAGGGAGUGGAAGGCAAUCUGCUACAUGU